GACGAACGCUGGCGGCGUGCUUAACACAUGCAAGUCGAACGAAAAUACCAAGCUUGCUUGGUUGAUUAGUGGCGAACGGGUGAGUAACACGUGAGUAACCUGCCCCUUACUUUCCUGGAUAACUGCUCGAAAGGGUAGCUAAUACGGGAUAUUCUGACCAGCCUGCAUGGGUUGGUUUGGAAAGGUUGUUUUUCUGGUAAGGGAUGGGCUCGCGGCCUAUCAGCUUGUUGGUGGGGUGAUGGCCUACCAAGGCUUUGACGGGUAGCCGGCCGGAGAGGGUGGACGGUCAGACUGGGACGAAGAUACGGCCCAGACGGCUAGGGGAGGGAGCAGUGGGGAAUAUUGCACAAGGAGCGCGAGCCUGAUGAAGCGACGCGGCGUGAGGGAUGAAGGCCUUCGGGUUGUAAACCUAUUUCGUAAGGGAACAAGGCACUGCUUUUUUGGUGGUGUUGAGGGUACCUGGAUAAGAAGCGCCGGCUAACUACGUG
rnacentral:rRNA from 1 species